AUUGAACGCUGGCGGCAUGCUUUACACAUGCAAGUCGGACGGCAGCACAGAGAAGCUUGCUUCUUGGGUGGUGAGUGGCGAACGGGUGAGUAACAUAUCGGAACGUACCGAGUAAUGGGGGAUAACUAAUCGAAAGAUUAGCUAAUACCGCGUAUUCUCUGAGGAGGAAAGCAGGGGACCUUCGGGCCUUGCGUUAUUUGAGCGGCCGAUAUCUGAUUAGCUAGCUGGUGGGGUAAAGGCCUACCAAGGCGACGAUCAGUAGCGGGUCUGAGAGGAUGAUCCGCCACACUGGGACUGAGACACGGCCCAGACUCCUACGGGAGGCAGCAGUGGGGAAUUUUGGACAAUGGGCGCAAGCCUGAUCCAGCCAUGCCGCGUGUCUGAAGAAGGCCUUCGGGGUUGUAAAAGGGACUUUUGUCAAGGGAAAGAAAAAGGAACCAGGGGUAA
rnacentral:rRNA from 1 species